rnacentral:rRNA from 1 species
UACGAAGGGGGCUAGCGUUGCUCGGAAUUACUGGGCGUAAAGGGCGCGUAGGCGGCCUGCUAAGUCGGACGUGAAAUCCCUCGGCUCAACCGGGGAACUGCGUCCGAUACUGGCGAGGCUUGAAUCCGGGAGAGGGAUGCGGAAUUCCAGGUGUAGCGGUGAAAUGCGUAGAUAUCAGGAGGAACACCGGUGGCGAAGGCGGGUCUCUGGGCCGUAACUGACGCUGAGGAGCGAAAGCGUGGGGAGCGAACAGG